UCUUGCUUUUUUUUUUUUUUUUUUUUUUUUUAGCUAUUUUACAUCAUUUACUAAAUUAGUUUUUGCCUGAAACCCAGGAAUUCCACAGCCGACAGACAGAAGAAGAAAGGCACACCUUGGCCGGUUAGAGACUGUGAUGCCUUUAGCUCAGCCUAUGGGAGAUGGCACUUCCCCCAAAUGUUGACUAAUGCAGUGGCAAAGGAAGCAAGGUGACCUCUAGCUUCCCUUUAUGACUCUGACCAACAGAAACUCCAGUCUCAGCAGAAAACUACAUUUCCCAGCAUGCAGAAAACUACAUUUCCCAGCA